rnacentral:tRNA from 3 species
GCGGACGUGGCUCAGUUGGUAGAGCAUCACCUUGCCAAGGUGAGGGUCGCGGGUUCGAACCCCGUCGUCCGCUCCA